AUCCAGCUGACGAGUCCCAAAUAGGACGAAACACGAGUCCUGAAU
rnacentral:hammerhead_ribozyme from 1 species